rfam:Capsicum annuum cultivar Zunla-1 chromosome 9, whole genome shotgun sequence
AGACUAUUGAUGGUGUGGACAGUCCCGAAAUAGAUCCUUGAAACGCUCCCAAUAAUGAUAUAAAUUUUUAUCUGGAUUUUGCUUGAAGCACACAAUCUCACUGCUAAGUCU